GUGUUCGCUUCGGCAGCACAUAUACUAAAAUUGGAAUGGUACAGAGAAAAUUAUCAUAGCCCCUGCACAAGGAUGACACACAAACUUGUGAAGCAUUCCAGAUUUUU
ensembl:snRNA U6 U6 spliceosomal RNA